AGAGUUUGAUCAUGGCUCAGAUUGAACGCUGGCGGCAGGCCUAACACAUGCAAGUCGAGCGGUAGCACAGAGAGCUUGCUCUCGGGUGACGAGCGGCGGACGGGUGAGUAAUGUCUGGGAAACUGCCUGAUGGAGGGGGAUAACUACUGGAAACGGUAGCUAAUACCGCAUAACGUCGCAAGACCAAAGUGGGGGACCUUCGGGCCUCAUGCCAUCAGAUGUGCCCAGAUGGGAUUAGCUAGUAGGUGGGGUAACGGCUCACCUAGGCGACGAUCCCUAGCUGGUCUGAGAGGAUGACCAGCCACACUGGAACUGAGACACGGUCCAGACUCCUACGGGAGGCAGCAGUGGGGAAUAUUGCACAAUGGGCGCAAGCCUGAUGCAGCCAUGCCGCGUGUGUGAAGAAGGCCUUCGGGUUGUAAAGCACUUUCAGCGGGGAGGAAGGCGUUGAGGUUAAUAACCUUGGCGAUUGACGUUACCCGCAGAAGAAGCACCGGCUAACUCCGUGCCAGCAGCCGCGGUAAUACGGAGGGUGCAAGCGUUAAUCGGAAUUACUGGGCGUAAAGCGCACGCAGGCGGUCUGUCAAGUCGGAUGUGAAAUCCCCGGGCUCAACCUGGGAACUGCAUUCGAAACUGGCAGGCUAGAGUCUUGUAGAGGGGGGUAGAAUUCCAGGUGUAGCGGUGAAAUGCGUAGAGAUCUGGAGGAAUACCGGUGGCGAAGGCGGCCCCCUGGACAAAGACUGACGCUCAGGUGCGAAAGCGUGGGGAGCAAACAGGAUUAGAUACCCUGGUAGUCCACGCCGUAAACGAUGUCGAUUUGGAGGUUGUGCCCUUGAGGCGUGGCUUCCGGAGCUAACGCGUUAAAUCGACCGCCUGGGGAGUACGGCCGCAAGGUUAAAACUCAAAUGAAUUGACGGGGGCCCGCACAAGCGGUGGAGCAUGUGGUUUAAUUCGAUGCAACGCGAAGAACCUUACCUGGUCUUGACAUCCACAGAACUUUCCAGAGAUGGAUUGGUGCCUUCGGGAACUGUGAGACAGGUGCUGCAUGGCUGUCGUCAGCUCGUGUUGUGAAAUGUUGGGUUAAGUCCCGCAACGAGCGCAACCCUUAUCCUUUGUUGCCAGCGGU
rnacentral:rRNA from 1 species